GGAGUUCGACGGCCAGUGAUUAGAGUUUGAUCCUGGCUCAGGAUGAACGCUAGCGACAGGCUUAACACAUGCAAGUCGAGGGGCAGCGGGCGAGUGGCAACACUUGCUGUCGGCGACCGGCGCACUGGUGAGUAACACGUAUGCAACCUGCCCCCUUCUGGGAGAUAACCCAUAGAAAUGUGGCCUAAUAUCCCAUAGUCGGUCCAGCCGCAUGGCCGGGCCGGGAAAGGCGAGCCGGAAGGGGAUGGGCAUGCGGCGCAUUAGCUAGUUGGCGGGGCAGAGGCCCACCAAGGCGACGAUGCGUAGGGGUUCUGAGAGGAAGGUCCCCCACAUUGGUACUGAGACACGGACCAAACUCCUACGGGAGGCAGCAGUGAGGAAUAUUGGUCAAUGGGCGGGAGCCUGAACCAGCCAAGUCGCGUGAGGGAGGAAGGUCCUACGGAUUGUAAACCUCUUUAGCCGGGGAGCAACGUGCGCCACGUGUGGCGCAGUGAGAGUACCCGGAGAAUAAGCAUCGGCUAACUCCGUGCCAGCAGCCGCGGUAAUACGGAGGAUGCGAGCGUUAUCCGGAUUUAUUGGGUUUAAAGGGUGCGCAGGCGGCGCGAAAAGUCAGCGGUCAAAGUUCCGGGCUCAACCCGGUGACGCCGUUGAAACUUUCGUGCUGGAGUUCGUGCGAGGGAGGCGGAAUGCGUUGUGUAGCGGUGAAAUGCAUAGAUAUGACGCAGAACCCCGAUUGCGAAGGCAGCUUUCCAGCACGCGACUGACGCUGAGGCACGAAAGCGUGGGGAGCGAACAGGAUUAGAUACCCUGGUAGUCCACGCGGUAAACGAUGAAUACUAGCCCUGCGGCGCGAAUGGGUGCUGCGGGGCAGAGUGAAAACGUUAAGUAUUCCACCUGGGGAGUACGCCCGGCAACGGUGAAACUCAAAGGAAUUGACGGGGGCCCGCACAAGCGGAGGAACAUGUGGUUUAAUUCGAUGAUACGCGAGGAACCUUACCCGGGCUCAAACGGCGGGGAGACGCGUCCGGAACCGGGCGUUCCCUUUCUGGGCUGCCGCCGAAGUGCUGCAUGGUUGUCGUCAGCUCCUGCCCCUGAGGUGGUCGGCUUAAUUGCCAUAACAAGCGCCACCCCCCAUCUUUCAUUGCCAGCGGCCAAGGGCGGGCACUCUUGGAAGAACUGCCACCCCACGCUGUUAUGAAAAGAGAGGGAUGACUCAAUCAAUCAUGCCCUUACUUCCUGGUGCGCACACACCGGUUUACAUAUUGUCAAGGUUCCCCGACA
rnacentral:rRNA from 1 species